rnacentral:rRNA from 1 species
AAGAGAAUGAUUAAACAAUUAAAAGCUUUCUUUAAUUAAAUAAUUGAAUUUAAUUUUUUAGUGCAAAAGCAAAAAUAAAAAUUAGGGACAAGAAGACCCUAUGAAUUUUUUAUUAAAUUUUAUAUAAAGUUUUAUAAAAUUUAAUUUAAUUGGGGUGAUGGAAAAAGAAUAAAUAUCUUUUUUUUAAAGAAAAUUGGUUCCGUUUUUAGCGAUUAAAUGAAAAAAAUACUCUAGGGAUAACAGCGUAAUAAUUUUGGAUAGUUCAUAUAGAUAAAAUAGUUUGCGACCUCGAUGUUGGAUUAGGAUUCUUUUUUGGUGAAGAAGUUAAAAAAAGAAGUUUGUUCAACUUAUAAUUUCCU